ACUUUCGUUUUGAUUUACGCUGGAAAAUCAUGGAAGAAAGCAGGUUUUGUAAAAUAUGCAACAAAGAGCAGGCUAAGUACACGUGCCCCCGAUGUAACUUGGGGUACUGUGGGCUGUCGUGUUACAGACACAAGGAGCACAGCGAUUGCUCCGAGGCCUUCUACAAGGAAUGCUGUAUGGAAGCUCUAGAAGACCAGGAUGUCAGUUCAGAAGAGAAGCAGAAAAUGUUGGAAAUGCUAGAUCGACUAGAAAAAGAGGAAGUACAAAACUCUGACAGUAAUUCAGGUAAUUUACUUGAUAUGAUAAUAUGUUAUCUUAUAAGAAUUGUUCAGAAAUAGAAACAUUUCUUUGAAAGUGAUUUUGGCAGUAAAUCAGUGUUAACAUGUUGAGUAGAAAUUUGUUAUGUUUUGGAUUUUCCUGCAGAUGAAGGCGAGGAACUUUCAGAGCGUCUCUCAGGAUUGAACCUCGGUAACAUUUACCAGUUAUAAAAUAAUAAUUAUUGUAACUUGAUUAUAAUCAGUGCAUUAUUUUAAUUAUAUUGAAAAUAUUAUAGGCUGUAAUAUUACUUUAAAACUAAAUACCUUUGAAAUGGUGACUUGACUAUCAAUAAAUUACUUGAGGGUUAAGUUCACAGUCGUUUAACCUAACAGAUACCGACUCCGAAAAGAUCUGGAACAGACUGACUUCUAAAGAGCAAGCUCAGUUUAACCAGAUGAUGAAGGACGGUCGCCUCGGAAACCUGGUAGAAGUUUGGACACCUUGGUGGGAUGUCAAGAAAGUCAAGAUCAGGGAUGUUGACAGUGAAAAACUAGAUGAUAAGACACCAGAUGUGUUAAGCAAAAUUCCAGACAUUUCCAAACUUCUCACUAAAUCCAAACCAUCAGCGGAUAUCCGGAACAACUUGGUGAACGUGUUGUUUGCCUAUGUGUUCGUCUGUCGCCUGUAUAAUGGCACCCACUGGGACUGCCCUCGCGAGUCAGCUCUGAAACUUGUUAAAGGCAGUGAUGUGUUGUCCAAAAACUCAGUGUGUAGUAGCACCAGUGAGGCCAUACAACUCGGCCUGACCAAUAGUGAGUGUAAGCAGUCGCAGGAAUUCCUAAUUGAGCUGGUCAGUGAUGUCACCAAGAUUCUACGGGGUCCUGGAAGAGGGGAAGAGUUAAAAUUUGUCAUGGCAGCCCUAUCGGAGAUUUUGCAGCUUCUGAAGAAAUGCCAUACUCUGUACAAAAAAGACAUCAAGGUUUCCUCUGCUUCCUCUACAGAUGACAGAGAGGAGAAACAGCUGCUGUUCCUGGCCAUUAAAAAGUUGGAGUUUUAUCUAGGUUGGAGUCAGAAAUGUGGGAUGAUCUUGCACUCUGUCAUACCAGAACUUAGACUAGAGCAUGGUCGUCUCAAAGAAGAAUUUCAAGAGACCAUUCAAGUGAAAAAAAGCAUUGAAAGGAAUUUGAGUCAGCUCCGGCCACCCAGAGAAGACAGUAAACUGAUUGAAGAAUUGUCCUAAAAUCCAGACCAGGCAUCCUUGUGAGUGUGAAACAGUCAUCAUUAGGGAAGAGCUCAGUUUGUACAUUGAAGAGUUGGAAUUGUCCUAAAUCCAGCACAGGAUCUAUCAGAGAACUGUCAUCUUUAGAAAGGUGUUCAGUUUAUAUGUGAUAAUUUUAAACAGUCAUUGAGUGCAUGUUUGUUGUCAACCUAUAUAUACUGUCAUACAACGAUACAAUGUGAACCAUGAACAAAUUUAGUCCAGUUGACAAUCACUAUCAUCUAUAAAUGAAAGUCUUUCAAUACUAGAAUUGUUAGCUUUUCAGUAUUUUUAUAGCGACCAGAUUUGUAUGAAUCAGUCAAAGACAGGAGUUUAUAGUAAUAAAUUUAUUCACAUCAC
rnacentral:misc_RNA from 1 species